rnacentral:rRNA from 1 species
CGUGAACCUUUACUAUAGCUUGACACUGAACAUUGAGCCUUGAUGUGUAGGAUAGGUGGGAGGCUUAGAAGUGUGGACGCCAGUCUGCAUGGAGCCGACUUGAAAUACCACCCUUUAAUGUUUGAUGUUCUAACGUUGACCCGUAAUCCGGGUUGCGGACAGUGUCUGGUGGGUAGUUUGACUGGGGCGGUCUCCUCCUAAA